rnacentral:rRNA from 1 species
UACAGAGGGUGCAAGCGUUGUUCGGAAUUAUUGGGCGUAAAGGGAGUGUAGGCGGCUAUUUAAGUCUUCUGUGAAAUUUACGGGCUUAACCUGUUAAAGUGCAGAAGAUACUGGAGAGCUUGAGUGUCGGAGAGGAAAGUGGAAUUCCCGGUGUAGAGGUGAAAUUCGUAGAGAUCGGGAGGAACACCAGUGGCGAAGGCGACUACCUGGCCUGUUCUUGACGCUGAGGCGCGAAAGCUAGGGGAGCAAACGGG